rnacentral:misc_RNA from 1 species
UUUCCGUAGGUGAACCUGCGGAAGGAUCAUUAUCGAGUUUUGAACGGGUUGUUGCUGGCCUCAUACGGGGCAUGUGCACGCCUGACUUCAUCCACUCUUCAACCUCUGUGCACUUAUUGUAGGCUAGUGUGAAAGGUUGCAUUCAUUUGCGACUGGAAGCCUGUCUACGUUUUACUACAAACGCUUCAGUUAUAGAAUGUUUAUCUGCGUAUAACGCAUUUAUAUACAACUUUCAGCAACGGAUCUCUUGGCUCUCGCAUUGAUGAAGAACGCAGC